rnacentral:rRNA from 1 species
AUUGAACGCUAGCGGCAGGCUUUACACAUGCAAGUCGAACGAGUGGCGGACGGGUGAGUAAUAUCUCGGAACGUGCCUAGUAGCGGGGGAUAACUAAUGGAAAGAGUGGCUAAUACCGCAUACCAUUAGAGCGGCCGAUAUGGGAUUAGCUAGUAGGUGGGGUAAUGGCUCACCUAGGCGACGAUCCGUAGCUGGUGUGAGAGGACGACCAGCCACACUGGAACUGAGACACGUCCCAGACUCCUACGGUAGGCAGCAGUGGGGAAUAUUGGACAAUGGGCGAAACCCUGAUCCAGCCAUCCCGCGUGUAUGAUGAAGGCCUUCGGGUUGUAAAGUACUUUCAGCGAGGAAGCGGUAUCUGCAGAAGAAGCACCGGCUAACUCCGUGCCAGCAGCCGCGGUAAUAC